GUAAAUUUAAGCGAUUUAAAUGAGUACUUUGAUAUUUUUGUAAAAAAAAUUUUAAUAUCAAAUUUUAAGUAAUAAAGUAAAGUAACCUUGUGUAUUUAUGUAAUAUUUGCUUAAAAAUUCACCUCGUAGCCCAAACCUCACGUCCCUUAUAUCUCCUUUCCACUUAUCCUACCGCGAACAAAUGACAACAAUAUCAGCCUCAACACAAACAAAGUACAAUGUAUAACUUCAACAGCAAUACGAGUACGAACAACAAUAUCGACGACAAUAUCAAUGAAAUCCAAAAUCCAAAAUGCCCCAAAUUCAAAUUUUGAAUUUUUUGUAUAGAGAUAGUAUGAUUCUUUUCAAAUUUCCUCCAAAAACCCUUGAAACCAGGAGAAUAUCCUUGGAUUGACCACUCUCUUAAUUCCAAAUAAGGACAAAGGAGAAUCGAUCUCCAUCUAUUUUUCUUGAUUUGAUUUCAGCCAUUUAAUUCAGUACAUCUUUGUAUUCCCCAAAUUCCUCCCUGCGUCCAGUGGGCAGCUAAGCCCAACUAUCUGUGAGCCAGCUGUGUCAAAAUCUCAACGAGACGAAUUGAAGUCAAGAAAAAUGGUGUGUGACCUUAGUGAACGAAAGGCAAGCUGAAUUACAGGUCUUGAAGAAAGGAGUGGGCCAAAUCCCAAAAGUGGCCAACUCAAUUGAAAUUUAGCUCAAAAGCUCAAUUCAAUGAUGAGCCAAAACUAUAAUAUCGACUUUAAGUCCAAUUAGAAUAGGACAGAGUCGCUCGGAGCAGAAAAUGAAUGGGACAAGCCUAAUAGUUCGCCUGGAGCAAGUCCAAAUUUGGACCAUUUAUAGGGGUUUGGGCCUAAAAAAGGCCUAAAUCCAAUUUCUUUUACUCGUUCAUUUAUGUGUAAACAACUUAAACCUAGUGUUUCCUACAUAAUUACCAUAUUUUUCAACUUUUUUCUAAA